UGCUUGACAAGAAGAUCCAUUGUUGAUAGCAUUGCAUAGAGAAGUUUGUGGCAUCAAAGAGGCAACAUAUUUUCAUACAAGCAUCAUACAUUUAAGAUCUUCAGAUACGAGUGCAAGCGCCUAAGUUAAGAUUUUUCUUACUGAUUAGCUGUUGCAUUGUAGCAGACUAGUAGCAAUCUUCAUGAGAUUGUUAGAGAAGCUUGCUAAGUUUCAUACAAAUGCUCACCAACUAAUGACAUGGCUACUGUUUCAGUAUUUUGAAUUAUGCUGUUGCAGUCAUCUAUCACGAGUUUCAUCAUCCACGUGCUGUAGUUUGAAUCUGCUACUUGGAGAAAGAGACCCGGAGCAUUGAUGCUUCACUUAUUAGAAUUUGAGAAUCAGGGACAAAGAUACCCAGAGCAAAGAUGCUUCAUUUAUAAAAUUUGAGAAUCAGGUUUGAGUAUCUUUUUUUGUUGAAGCUAUUAUAUUACCUUGACUAGAGAAUAUCUCUAGUGGUUUCUCAAAUUUGAUUAUUGAAAAGUCAUUAGUAUUUUACUUGUUCUUCUGGCUUGCCUCUUAACAUUCUGUAACCUUGCUUGCGAAUUAUUGACAAUUACUAUACAGGAAUUGUGACUUCUGUUAGUCUUUCUGUUAAGAAAGAAAAAAGAGACAUUAUCUCACUCUUGAAUUGCAUCCUAGAUAUUCUUUUAUCAUAGAUCAUUCAUG